rnacentral:rRNA from 1 species
UGUUGUGCGAAGGUAGCAUAAUCAUUAGUCUUUUAAUUGAAGGCUUGUAUGAAUGGUUGGACAAAAAGUAAUCUGUCUCAGUUAUAAUAGUUGAACUUAACUUUUAAGUGAAAAGGCUUAAAUACUUUAAGGGGACGAUAAGACCCUAUAAAACUUAACAAUAAUUUGAUUAAAUUAUAAAUUGUUAGUAUAACUUGAUUUUAAUUAAUGUUUGUUGCGUUGGGGCGACGGGAAUAUAAUUAGUAACUGUUCUUAAAUAUUUUAUUAACAAGUAUAAUUGAAGAAUAAUUGAUCCUUUAUUAAAGAUUAAAAGAUUAAGUUACUUUAGGGAUAACAGCGUAAUCUUCUUUGAGAGUCCUCAUCGACAAGAAGGUUUGCGACCCCGAUGUUGAAUUAAGGA